GGUGAUCUACGCCACACAGGUGAAGGUGAUCGUCGUCGAAGGGGCAGAGGUGAUCUUCUACGUCGAAGGGGUGAAGGAGAUCUACGUCGGCGGAUAGGUGAGGGUGAUCUACGACGUUGGAUGGGUGAGGGUGAUCUACGGCGUCGAAUGGGUGAGGGAGAUCUACGGCGCCGAAUAGGUGAGGGAGAUCUACGUCGACUAAGUGAGGGAGACCUACGCCGGAUUGGUGAAGGAGAUCUGCGUCUAAAUGGAGAGUGCAAUCUACGUCGUACUGGAGAAGGUGACAUGUGGCGUGAAGAUGAUCUUGAUCUUGGCCUAGAAUACCUU
rnacentral:lncRNA from 1 species